UACGUAGGGGGCUAGCGUUGUCCGGAUUUAUUGGGCGUAAAGAGCUCGUAGGUGGUUCGGUAAGUCGGAUGUGAAAGCCCGGGGCUUAACUCCGGGUCUGCAUUCGAUACGGGCAGGCUAGAGUUCGGUAGGGGAGAUCGGAAUUCCUGGUGUAGCGGUGAAAUGCGCAGAUAUCAGGAGGAACACCGGUGGCGAAGGCGGAUCUCUGGGCCGAUACUGACGCUGAGGAGCGAAAGCGUGGGGAGCGAACAGG
rnacentral:rRNA from 1 species